ACACUCCUACGGGAGGCAGCAGUGGGGAAUCUUGCGCAAUGGGCGAAAGCCUGACGCAGCCAUGCCGCGUGAAUGAUGAAGGUCUUAGGAUUGUAAAAUUCUUUCACCGGGGACGAUAAUGACGGUACCCGGAGAAGAAGCCCCGGCUAACUUCGUGCCAGCAGCCGCGGUAAUACGAAGGGGGCUAGCGUUGCUCGGAAUUACUGGGCGUAAAGGGAGCGUAGGCGGACAUUUAAGUCAGGGGUGAAAUCCCGGGGCUCAACCUCGGAAUUGCCUUUGAUACUGGGUGUCUUGAUUAUGAGAGAGGUGUGUGGAACUCCGAGUGUAGAGGUGAAAUUCGUAGAUAUUCGGAAGAACACCAGUGGCGAAGGCGACACACUGGCUCAUUACUGACGCUGAGGCUCGAAAGCGUGGGGAGCAAACAGGAUUAGAAACCCCUGUAGUCCCAU
rnacentral:rRNA from 1 species